rnacentral:misc_RNA from 1 species
AAGUCGUAACAAGGUUAACACGUAUCCCCUGUGAACCUUCACCUGUACUCGUACGUCCGUUAGAGUCCGUUAGAAAAAGCAGCAAUCAUCGCCGAACAGUUUUCGAUUCAGGGAUGUCUGCAAGGAGCGUGCAUGUUGUGCGAGCAAGUGGCCUGGCAUCCCCAAGCAGUUAGUGUCUGAAAGUGUCAUUAACUGUGUAAGGAUGACGCAGUCACGAUCGUUGGAGGCCCACACGGCCGACGACCGGGUCACUGGGCGCAAGCCCCCCUAUAACAAACGCUGCUAAUCGCGGCCGCGAUAAUACGCAGUCGACCAAAAACCGAACAACUGUUAACAAUGGAUAUCUUGGUUCUC